rnacentral:tRNA from 1 species
GGAGUUGUGGCUUAGUGGUAGAGUACUUGCCUAGCAAGUGUGGGGCCCUGGGUUCGAUCCUCAGCACCA